GGCUGGAUAGCUCAGUUGGUAGAGCACCGGUAUUGUAUUCCGGAGGUCGCAGGUUCAAUCCCGCUCCAGUCA